rnacentral:rRNA from 1 species
UUGUGCCGGCGAUGGUUCAUUCAAAUUUCUGCCCUAUCAACUUUCGACGGCUGGGUCUUGGCCAGCCAUGGUGACAACGGGUAACGGAGGGUUAGGGCUCGACCCCGGAGAACGAGCCUGAGAAACGGCUAUUACAUCCAAGGAAGGCAGCAGGCGCGCAAAUUACCCAAUACCGACUCGGUGAGGUAGUGACGAUAAAUACUGAUACAGGGCUCUUUUGGGUCUUGUAAUUGGAAUGAGUACAAUUUAAAUCCCUUAACGAGGAACAAUUGGAGGGCAAGUCUGGUGCCAGCAGCCGCGGUAAUUCCAGCUCCAAUAGCGUAUAUUAAAGUUGUUGCAGUUAAAAAGCUCGUAGUUGAACCUUGGGCCUGGCUGGCCGGUCCGCCUCACCGCGUGCACUGGUCCGGCCGGGUCUUUCCCUCUGGGGAACCGCAUGCCAUUCACUUGGUGUGUCGGGGAACCAGGACUUUUACUUUGAAAAAAUUAGAGUGUUCAAAGCAGGCCUAUGCUCGAAUACAUCAGCAUGGAAUAAUAGAAUAGGACGUGUGGUUCUAUUUUGUUGGUUUCUAGGACCGCCGUAAUGAUUAAUAGGGACAGUCGGGGGCAUCAGUAUUCAAUUGUCAGAGGUGAAAUUCUUGGAUUUAUUGAAGACUAACUACUGCGAAAGCAUUUGCCAAGGAUGUUUUCAUUAAUCAGGAACGAAAGUUAGGGGAUCGAAGACGAUCAGAUACCGUCGUAGUCUUAACCAUAAACUAUGCCGACUAGGGAUCGGACGAUGUUAUUUUUUGACUCGUUCGG